CAGCCAAAGAAAAAUGAAAUGUAAGUGAGGGUGCAGCUUGGUAUCUCCCUAGGAUCAUGUGUCCUAAAAUUGGGGUAGGGUCCACCCUAAAAAAAAUAAAACCCUAGGGUGCCAAGUGUCCUAGAAUCUUUGGGCCCCUCAUAUUUCCAAAAUUGGCCCAAUAUGCAAAAGGUUUGUCUAAAAAGUUUUAACAAAUAAAUUACAAAUAUAAAUAAAAUUUAACAUGUCUAAAUUGAGAGUCUUGAACUUAUUUUGUCUCCU
rnacentral:lncRNA from 1 species